AUUGAACGCUGGCGGCAGGCCUAACACAUGCAAGUCGAGCGAGCGGCGGACGGGUGUGUAAUGUCUGGGAAACUGCUUGAUGGCGGGGGAUAACGACUGGAAACGGCAGCUACUACUGCAUACACUCAGAUGUGACCAGAUGGGCUUAGCUAGUAGGUGGGGUAUCGGCUCACUUAGCGGACGAUCCCUAGCUGGUCUGAGAGGAUGACCAGCCGCACUGGAACUGGGACACGGUCCAUGUGCCUCAGGGAGGCAGCAGGUGGGAAUAUGGCACAAUGGGCGCAAGCCUGAUGCAGCCAUGCCGCGUGUGUUAAGAAGGCCUUCGGGUUGUAAAGCACUUUCAGCGGUGAGGCGUUACCCGCAGAAGAAGCACCGGCUAACUCCGUGCCAGCAGCCGCGGUAAUUC
rnacentral:rRNA from 1 species